UUGAUAAGCGUGAGGUCGGAGGUUCAAGUCCUCCCAGGCCCACCAAUUUAUGCUCGUUUUUUGCUUAUCUUGAGCCUUAUGAAGCUUAAGCGUGUCAAAGCCUCUUUAAUCUUUGUUCAUAGUUUAAAGAUUUAAUUUUAACGUCCCUUCAAGGGUGCAGAUAAAUUUAAAGAAUAAAAAUCAAAUUUAAGCAAUACAAAUCAAAAUAAUAUUGAUUAAAAGAGGAUUAAAAGAGGACAAGUCAUUCAAGUUGAUCAAUUUUCUUGAGAUUGAUUUGAGAGAGCAUUCUUUAGGGGCCGUAGCUCAGCUGGGAGAGCACCUGCUUUG
rnacentral:misc_RNA from 1 species